CAGUCGCCACGGUAAUACGGAGGGAACUAGCGUUGUUCGGAAUUACUGGGCGUAAAACGCGCGUAGGCGGUUACUCAAGUCAGAGGUGAAAGCCCGGGGCUCCACCCCGGAACUGCCUUUGAAACUAGGUGACUAGAAUCUUGGAGAGGUCUGUGGAAUUCCGAGUGUAGAGGUGAAAUUCGUAGAUAUUCGGAAGAACACCAGUGGCGAAGGCGACUGACUGGACAAGUAUUGACGCUGAGGUGCGAAAGCGUGGGGAGCAAACAGGAUUAGAUACCCGCGUAGUCCCUGUCUCUUAUAC
rnacentral:rRNA from 1 species